UACAGAGGUCUCAAGCGUUGUUCGGAUUCAUUGGGCGUAAAGGGUGCGUAGGUGGCGCCAUAAGUCAGGUGUGAAAUCUCGGGGCUCAACCUCGAGACUGCACUUGAUACUGUGGUGCUUGAGUACUGGAGAGGAGAUUGGAAUUUACGGUGUAGCAGUGAAAUGCGUAGAUAUCGUAAGGAAGACCAGUGGCGAAGGCGAAUCUCUGGACAGUUACUGACACUGAGGCGCGAAAGCUAGGGGAGCAAACGGG
rnacentral:rRNA from 1 species